CACCUUUUAAAGGUAAUAUAACAAACCCUAAACACAAAUGAAUACAAGCUAUAGUUCAAAUCCUGAAAAUUAAAAGUAUGUUUUAGGAAUUUUCUGACUAUGAGCAUUAAAA